rnacentral:lncRNA from 1 species
UGUUUCCCCAAGAUUCACGCUGAAAACGCCCCUCUCCCAAGUGAUGGCGUUGGGAAGUGGGGGUCUUUGGGAGUCAUGAGGCCUCAUGGAUGGGAUCAGUGCCCUUACAGAAGGGACUCCAGAGAGCACCCUGGCCUCAUCCAUCAUCUGAGGACACACAGGGAGAAGGCGCCAUCUACAAGCCAGGAACUGGGUACUCAGCAGAGACUGCAUCUACCAUACCUUGGUUUUCUGGGACCUCCAGCCUCCAGAGCUGAGACAUGUGGUCAUACAAAUGCUCUCAGAGAAGGUAAAGUGCAGGUGCCCUGGGGUCCUCCAGCAUUUACCAGGGAGCCCGGCUACACUUCUGCCAGCCUUGGUUUCUACCCCCCCCCGCCUGUUCCCAGUGGUGACCCUGCCCUCUGUGCCCCGGGGGUGCUGGGGAGGAGGCAGCACCGCACGCAGACCGGGAACGUGGGCCAGCCACAGGGGCAGAGCGUGGCCCCAACUGCGUCCCGUGGGCCCAGCGCCCAUCUCCAGGCCCCAGGCCGCCCUGUGGAGAGGUGCGCGGCCAGGCAGGAGGACCUCUGCGUCCUCUGUUUAUUGUUUUGCAGCAGGAGGCCCAACAUAGAACAUACUCGCCAGUACUCGGCUGUGCAAAACAGGGGCUAGCGCUGAAGUACAAAUGGGAAAACAUGAUUCUUUUGUUUUAAAUAAAUACUGAAAACGCGACUUGGGUCCUACAAGCAUCUGGACUCUAGGUCUCAGUAUUGGAGUGUCUCACCCAUGGGCCCCACGCAGGGACGCCACGGUUCCCUCCCACCCCGUGGAUCAAGACAUGGAAUCGGCUGCCGAUGACUGGAUCGCAAUGCGCCCCUUUUCUAGAGCCUUCCCCGGCCGUCUACAGGCAGGAUGCGGCUGGGGAAAAGACAACUGGAAUUUCUCGAAGGUCGAUGGUCCGCACGGUGGAGGAUUCUACGUGGUUCUCUUGGUUCCCCUGGUGUGUGUGUGUGUGUGUGUGUGGAGGAGGCCGCGGCCCCUAGAUCACCUUCUUGAGCUCGUCGUACAGGACCAGCACAAAGGCGCCCCCCAUGCCCCGCAGGACGUUGGACCACGCACCCUUGAAGAAGGCCUUGCCCCCCUCGUCUCUGAAGAUCUUCCUCCCCAGACGCCUGAGCCACAGUUCUGAUUACAGGAGGGAUAGCUGAGGCUCCCCCAGCUCAAGCCCUCCUCCUAAGCCACUGUCUCAGGGAGGGCGGGACACAGGACUUCAGGCCCCGC